CUGGACUGAAGAAAUGACAAGGCAGUGAGAACCAUGAAGAACUGCCUUUCUCGAUUCCUCAUCAUUGUCUCACUUCUCAAAUACAGUUACGAAGACACGGUGGAGCAGCCAAUUCCUGAAAUGACGGUUGAGGAAGGAAAUAAUGUCACAAUCACCUGCAAUUUGAAGACAACUACUACUAAUCCUUAUGUUUACUGGUACAGUCAGCCCCCAGGGCAGCCUCCACAUUACGUCGUUUACAUGCUUGCAGCUGGAAUGGUAAACAGGAAUCCUGACUUCUCUGAUCGUUUUUCUUUGACAUUUGAUAAAACUACGAAGAUUACCGAGUUAGCGAUCAGUAAUGCCUUCAACACUGACUCUGCUGUGUAUUUCUGUGCCAUGAACCCCACACUGGCGCAGACAGAUAGCAGAGCACGUCAAAAACCCACUUUCAGUGUUCCCGUUAGAGCUCACGAGAAGGCAGUCUCACGGCGAGGAACAGAAACAAUUCUUGAAGUGACAACAGAUCUCAAUAAUAAAGUAGUGUUCCAUUUUCAGAUUUCUAUCAGUCUGAAAAUUCGGGAUGCAAAUAUGGUGGGAAUAAAACUUAACAUCGAGCUGUGCAAUUUUGUUUCCUGUUACUUUUCCAAUCAAUGA